rnacentral:rRNA from 1 species
UGGUAAUGAUGGCAGAGAGGUCACACCCGUUCCCAUACCGAACACGGAAGUUAAGCUCUCUAGCGCCGAUGGUAGUUGGGACCUUGUCCCUGUGAGAAUAGGACGUUGCCAGGCU